AUGAACGCUAGACGGCAGGCUUAACACAUGCAAGUCGAGGGGCAGCACAGGUAGCAAUACUGGGUGGCGACCGGCGCAAGGGUGCGUAACGCGUGAGCAACAUGCCCGUAUCAGGGGGAUAAUCCAUGGAAACGUGGUCUAAUACCCCAUAGUAAGUUUUGAGGCAUCUCAAGGAUUUUAAAGCUUUGGUGGAUACGGAUUGGCUCGCGUGACAUUAGCUGGAUGGUAGGGUAACGGCUUACCAUGGCUACGAUGUCUAGGGGUUCUGAGAGGAAGGUCCCCCACACUGGAACUGAGACACGGUCCAGACUCCUACGGGAGGCAGCAGUGAGGAAUAUUGGACAAUGGAUGGAAAUCUGAUCCAGCCAUGCCGCGUGCAGGAAGACGGCCCUAUGGGUUGUAAACUGCUUUUGUAUGGGAGCAAUAAGAUCUACGUGUAGAUUGAUGAGAGUACCAUACGAAUAAGCACCGGCUAACUCCGUG
rnacentral:rRNA from 1 species